GAAGGUGUGCUGUGAGGCAUGCUGGAGGUAUCAGAAGUGCGAAUGCUGACAUAAGUAACGAUAAAGCGGGUGAAAAGCCCGCUCGCCGGAAGACCAAGGGUUCCUGUCCAACGUUAAUCGGGGCAGGGUGAGUCGACCCCUAAGGCGAGGCCGAAAGGCGUAGUCGAUGGGAAACAGGUUAAUAUUCCUGUACUUGGUGUUACUGCGAAGGGGGGACGGAGAAGGCUAUGUUGGCCGGGCGACGGUUGUCCCGGUUUAAGCGUGUAGGCUGGUUUUCCAGGCAAAUCCGGAAAAUCAAGGCUGAGGCGUGAUGACGAGGCACUACGGUGCUGAAGCAACAAAUGCCCUGCUUCCAGGAAAAGCCUCUAAGCAUCAGGUAACAUCAAAUCGUACCCCAAACCGACACAGGUGGUCAGGUAGAGAAUACCAAGGCGCUUGAGAGAACUCGGGUGAAGGAACUAGGCAAAAUGGUGCCGUAACUUCGGGAGAAGG
rnacentral:rRNA from 1 species